GAUUCGUUUUCGUGAAUUGCAA
rnacentral:siRNA from 1 species